rnacentral:rRNA from 1 species
AACAUAACCUUUAGAAAAACAAACAUUAAAGGCGACGCCUGCCCAGUGAACAAUUCAACGGCCGCGGUACCCUAACCGUGCAAAGGUAGCACAAUCACUUGUCUAUUAAUUGUAGACCUGUAUGAAAGGCAAAAUGAGGGCCUGACUGUCUCUUAUAGUAAAUCAAUUAAACUGAUCCCCCAGUCCAAAAGCUGGGAUACCAACAUAAGACCAGAAGACCCUGUGAAGCUUAAACUAAACUACUACACCCCAUAGUAGCUCCUUUCGGUUGGGGCGACCUUGGAAACAAAAAGAACUUCCAAACAACUGACCUAAUAUCUUAACCUAGGCCCACAAGCCUCAUAUAGACCCAGCACCGCUGACCACUGAACCAAGUUACUCCAGGGAUAACAGCGCUAUCUUCUUCAAGAGCCCAUAUCAAAAAGAAGGUUUACGACCUCGAUGUUGGAUCAGGACAUCCUAAUGGUGCAGCCGCUAUUAAGGGUUCGUUUGUUCAACGAUUAACAGUCCUACGUGAUC